rfam:Danio rerio chromosome 4, GRCz11 reference primary assembly.
GCAUUGGUGGUUCAGUGGUAGAACUCUCGCCUCCCACAUGGGAGAGCCGGGUCCGAUUCCCAGCCAAUGCA